UACAGAGGGUGCAAGCGUUAUUCGGAAUUACUGGGCGUAAAGCGUGCGUAGACGGUUAUGCAAGUCAGGUGUGAAAGCCCCGGGCUCAACCUGGGAAUGCCAUUUGAGACUGCAUAGCUAGGGUACGGAAGAGGGAAGCGGAAUUUCAGGUGUAGCGGUGAAAUGCGUAGAUAUCUGAAGGAACACCAGUGGCGAAAGCGGCUUCCUGGUCCAGAACCGACGUUCAGGCACGAAAGCGUGGGGAGCAAACAGG
rnacentral:rRNA from 1 species